CCUAAUUUUGGAAAUUUGAACACGUGCCAUGAAUAUCUGUAAAAUUCGGUUUACUCCUUGCAGCUAAAUGUAGCAGCAGUUUCUGUAGUGUAGUGGUUAUCACGUUCGCUUUACACGUGAAAGGUCCUCAGUUUGAAACCGGGAGGAAACAGUGCUCUUUGACAUGUGCAGUAGGUACUGUACUAUUAACAGAGAAUAGUUAUUUUCAUAAAUGCCUAAUUUUGGAAAUUUCAACACGUGCCAUGAAUAUCUGUAAAAUUCGGUUUACUCCUUGCAGAUAAUUGUUGCAGAAGUUUCUGUAGUGUAGUGGUUAUCACGUUCGCUUAACACGCGAAAGGUCCUCGGUUCGAAACCGGGCGGAAACAGAGCUCUUUGACACGUGCAGUAGGUACUGUACUUUCAACAAAGAAUUGUUAUUUUCAUGAAUUCUGUAUUCUGGAAAUUCGAAUACGUGCCAUGAAUAUCUGUAAAAUUUGGUUUACUCCUCGCAGCUAAAUGUAGCAGCAGUUUCUGUAGUGUAGUGGUUAUCACAUUUGUUCACACGCGAAAGGUCCCUGGUUCGAAACCAGGCGGAAACAACGCUCAUCGACACAUUCAAGAAGUACCAUAGUGUUAACAAAGAAUUUCAUUAUUCUCUUAUUUUGGAAAUUCGAAUACGUGCCAUGAAUAUUUAAAAAAUUCG
rnacentral:lncRNA from 1 species